GAGUUUGAUCCUGGCUCAGAACGAACGCUGGCGGCAUGCCUAAUACAUGCAAGUCGAACGGGGAAAGUAGCAAUACGAGUACUAGUGGCGCACGGGUGAGGAAUACAUGGGUAAUCUGCCCUCGAGCUCGGGAUAACCAGUCGAAAGACUGGCUAAUACCGGAUAUGACCACAAGAUCUGAGGAUCAAGGGGUAAAAGGUUUUUCGCUUGAGGAUGAGCCCAUGUGGGAUUAGCUAGUUGGUGUAGGUAACGGCUCACCAAGGCGACGAUCCCUAACUGGUCUUAGAGGAUGAUCAGUCACACUGGAACUGAGACACGGUCCAGACUCCUACGGGAGGCAGCAGUAGGGAAUAUUGCACAAUGGAGGAAAUUCUGAUGCAGCGACGCCGCGUGAGUGAUGAAGGCCUUCGGGUCGUAAAGCUCUGUCGUAUGGGACUAACAAAAUGAAGGUACCAUGCAAGAAAGGAUCGGCUAACUUCGUG
rnacentral:rRNA from 1 species